rnacentral:rRNA from 1 species
AUUGAACGCUGGCGGCAGGCCUAACACAUGCAAGUCGAGCGAGCGGCGGACGGGUGAGUAAUGUCUGGGAGACUGCGUGAUGGGGGGGGAUAACUACUGGAAACGGUAGCAAAUACCGCAUACGAUCAGAUGUGCCCAGAUGGGAUUAGCUAGUAGGUGGGGUAACGGCUCACCUGGGGGAAGAUCACUAGCUGGGCUGAGAGGAUGACCAGCCACACGGGAACUGAGACACGGUCCAGAUGCCUACGGGAGUCAGCAGGGGGGAAUAUUGCACAAUGGGCGCAAGCCUGAUGCAGCCAUGCCGCGUGUGUGAAGAAGGCCUUCGGGUUGUAAAGCACUUUCAGCGGGGAGGCGUUACCCGCAGAAGAAGGACCGGCUAACUCCGUGCCAGCAGCCGCGGUAAUAC